AAAGAAAGAAAAAAGAAAGAAAAAAAAAAAAAAAAGAAAAAGCCCAGACUCCACCUUUGCACUGAAGGGAUUGGUUAUGCAAAUAUGGAAGGGGUUUCCUGGCAAAUACAGCUUUCUACUGUAUGGUUAAUUAAAUCAUCACUCAAAAGCCUUCCAAUGUGACGCUUCUGUCGUAAUCCAAUCAGGUUACGUAGGUCCUAAACAAGAAAGAUAUUUUCCACAUCUGGAAGUCAGCAAUUUAGCAAGUACUGCACAUUAUUAACCAAUUCAGAGCCCGCUUCCCAGGGGGAUUUUUUUGGUGUGUUUUUUUUUUUUUUUUUUUUUUUUGAAGUUUAAGUGUUCUUAACCAAUGCUCUGCUGUUUUGUUAAUCAAAAAGCUGGUUUACACUGCACGUAAUUGAGAACUAAUACAGAAGUAAGUCAAGGCAGCCGAGCUGGGGAUGCUGAGCGCUUAUCUGCAUUAGGGCUGAUACGGCGCAGCUCGAGCCGCGCUGCCCGGCUCCCAGCUCAACCCACGGCCCUUCCUGCCUCCAAAAGAGCUCGAAACCAUCUCGGUGCGAAGAUAAACUUCGCAUCUCGCGCACCCGUGUGAUCCUUUCUGAAGGUGUCCCUGAGAACUAAGAUUUAAAGAGGAAAGCCUUUCCCUCCCCCCACAGCCCCCAUUUCCACAUGGAGGAGAGGAUAUAGAGAAGAGGAAGGGUCAGGGAAUGACACCCCCCCCCCCCCCCGCUGAUGAGGUAUUUGGGAAGAAACCUUUUGAAUCAACAUUCCCAAAGUUUUCAAGUUCCUCUGCGGAAAACCCAUGUAGGGAUAGGAUGUGAGCCAAAAGCAAGGGAAAAGAUUGUCUGGCUUUAAUUUAUCUAUCCCUGGGCAUUUCUAACAAGCAGAUCACUGUAAUAUUUAAUCUCGUGCGAGUCCCUGCAUGUUAAAAGUGAAUCUCUCUCAUAUGUUUUUGUUAAUUUUGUCAUUUAUAAAGCCACUCCUGACGGCCUGGUGCUGCUCAGCUCCUGUCUACAACACACAUCUCUGCUUCUGGGCUGGAGGAACAGCGUGUGUGGGACCCGAGCUGCUUCUCACAUUGGGCAAUGAGGAGGGAGCGGGUUGGGGGGUGAGGAUGCUCACCCUGCUCACCCUUUCCCUUUUCACUUUCUGGAUCGAUGCUGAACUUUGGGCAUAUUUCAUAGCUCAGUUGGCAGUUAUUAACAUUCGCUGCUCACUUUUGUUUACAGUUGGUUAUUUACUUUGUUGAAUUUUUAAAAACUUGUUAGAAUGCAAUUGAACACAGAUUCAACAGUAUUUAGGCUUGAAAAAUAAAGAUGC
rnacentral:lncRNA from 1 species